UGUAAAUCGCUUGUCAGAUCUACAGAUUGGAACGAGAGAAAACGGAGAGAAAAGAUUAGGGUGAGCUGCAUCGUGUAAAUCGCUUGUCAGAUCUACAGAUAGGAACGAGAGAAAACGGAGAGAAAAGAUUAGGGUGAGCUGCAUCGUGUAAAUCGCUUGUCAGAUCUUCAGAUACGGAAAAACCAGAGAGAAAAGAUUAGGAAACAGAGUAAGAGAAAAGAUUAGGAUGCGAAUCAUGUCAAUCGCUGGUCAGUUCUUUUGAAUCGCUUAAAUCGCUUGUCAUUCAUCCACUGAGGCAGAAAGGAAACGGAAGGAAGAGGAAAGAUAUUACUAAGUCUCUUUUUAAACCUUUUAUCACCAUUUAUCUGAACACGAGGAAAAAAUAUAACGAAAAAAAAUAUAUAUAAGGAAAAAAACAGUAAGAUAAACCGUACUAUUUGCACUCCUACGGGUUUGAAUCGCUUAAAUCGCUUGUCAUUCAUCCACUCAGGCAGAAAGUAAACGGAAGGAGGAGGAAGGAUAUUACUAAGUCUCUCUUUAAACUGUUUAUCACCAUUUAUCCGAACACGAGGAAAAAAUGUAUAUAAGGAAAAAAAAUAGUAAGGUAAACUGUUCUAUUCGCACUCCGACGGUUUGAAUCGCUUAAAUCGCUUGUCAUUCAUCCACUCAGGCAGAAAGUAAACGGAAGGAGGAGGAAGGAUAUUACUGAGUCUCUUUUUAAACCGUUUAUCACCAUUUAUCCGAACACGAGGAAAAAAUAUAUAUAAGGAAAAAAAAUAGUAAGAUAAACUGUUUUAUUCGCACUCCUAUGGGUUUGAAUCGCUUAAAUCGCUUGUCAUUCAUCCACUCAGGCAGAAAGUAAACGGAAGGAGGAGGAAGGAUAUCACUAAGUCUCUUUUUAAACCGUUUAUCAUCAUUUAUCCGAACACGAGGAAAAAAUAUACAUAAGGAAAAAAACAUAGUAAGAUAAACCGUUCUAUUCGCACUCCGACGCUUCUUGCCGCAUUCCGCCACUCACGUCACGACUCCACACACUGACACACACAAAAGGAAAAACGGGAGAAAAAAAAAUAUCCAUCGUUUAAGUCGUUUUACUCGUUACAUUCUAGCCAAGACUUCUGCCCCCGCCUGCCUGCCUUCCUGCCUGCUGCCCCGCCCCGCCCCGCCCCGCCCCGCGCCGCCCCGCUUCGCCGCCGGGGCACACACACGUCUACACACCCAUCGUGCCUUUUUAGUUCUCUAACACGACCACACGACAACGCUGAAUCACAGGGAAGCAAGUGUCGCCGCUGCCGCCGCCGUUGCCGCCGCCGCCGCGCGAUUCACAGACCGAGCAGCGGAGCACGGAGGGGCGGGCGGGUUUGUGGUUUGCGGUUCUGUGGUGCGCGGCCAUCCCUCGAAAUACACGCGGUUUGGGACUCACGGUUGCGCACUUAGUGAUUUACGGGAUAAAAAUUCAUGGGAUAUUUAUUUACAAGUCCGCAGUGAAGAGAUUGUAUUAUGGAAGGAGAAAUAAGGUAUGCGAUUCCCUGGUGCGCGGCCAUCCCUCGAAAUACACGCUGUUUGAGACUCACGGUUGCGCACUUAGUGACCUAUGAGACAAAAAUUCAUGGGAUAUUUAUUUACAAGUCCGCAGUGAAGAGACUGUGUUAUGUUAUGGUUUGCAAUUCCCUGGUGCGCGGUCAACUCUCAAUUUGCACGAUUUUGGGACCCACGGUUGCCUACUCAGUGACUUAUGUGACAAAAAUUCAUGGGAUAUUAAUUUUAUUUACAAGUCCGCAGUGAGGAGAUUGUUUUAUGGAAGGAGAGAUAAGGUUUGCAAUUCCUUGGUGCGCGGUCAGCUCUCGAUUUGCACGAUUUUGGGACCCACGGUUGCCUACUCAGUGACUUAUGGGACAAAAAUUCGCCUGGUAGAUUGUGUUGCGAAAGAGAAUAUUAGGUUUGAAGUCAUCCCUCACUUUGCACGUUUCUGAGUCUCACGAUUUCGUAGGUGAAUUCUCGUUGAAAAGUGAGAGGGAAUGCUUCGUGGGACAUUAACUUACGGAAAUUUGUGUUGCGAAAGCGAAGAUAAAGCUCGCGGUUCGCUUCACACGUUAUUUUGGAAUCAUGGUUAAGGACUUUUUUUUUCUAAUUCUCCUGAAAAUUAAAACCUCGCGGGGCAUUUACAAACAAGUAGGCGGUGGAGAGUCUACGCUACGGACGUCCGCCGCUCCCUAACGUUACCCGUGUCCGCAUAUCAGCCAAGAAAAAUGUGUAAUAAGAAUAUAAGAACAUAAGUACAUAAGAACAUAGGGAAACUGCAAGAGGCCGUUGAUCAUAUACCUAACUGUUCUCUCUAUUCUUGAUUGCUACUGUAUACCCUUAAUGCACAGGAGAGAGGGUUCAAGCUGAAAUUCGUGGCUUUCGUACCUGAGCGAGACUCCAACGUGGGCCUGUGAGAUUGAGGGAUAGCCGCGCCCCGCCUGAACCGCCCCCCGCCCCGCCCCGCCCCGCCGCCCCGCCCUUCUAGACAUUGUUCCGUGCCUUUUCAUAAUAUAUCCGGAAGCUGCUGAUGCCCGCGGGUGUAACAAUGAACAAUGAUACUGAUAGGAGCUCGCGGGUGUGUGAAUAUAAUGAAAAAACAAUGAUAAUGACGAUGAUGAUAAUGAUGUUGAAGAUGACUUAAUGACUACCACUUAACGCUGAGGCCAGGCCAGACUCAGCACUCAGCACUCAGCCACUCCCAGCACCGCAGCACCACCGCAGGACACGGAGCAGCGCACUGAGGCCAUAAUCCCGCCCUUUCUCACAUUCUAAGUAAGCCUCAGCGAUAGUUAGACUUAUAUUAGUCGCUCACAACUCUGUUUAUCACUUGCACACACACACCCUCUAUCUAUCACUCCGUCUUUCUAUCUCUCUAUCUAUCUAUCGCAGCGGGCCAAGCUCUCCGCCCUGCCCCAUCUCACCCCGCCUAGCCAAAUGCCUCGCCCUUCGCCGCUACAGCAAGGGGACUUCGUGACCCGCUUACCUCUUCGCCAGUCUCCGUCGCGGCAACGUCUGCUACCACUACCGCCCCUGCCCGAAGCGCGGACGAGAGACCAACGAAGAUUAUAGACUGCUAGUAAGGGCAACGUAUAAGCGUGUGAACCGUAUCAGGGUUUAUAGUGAAUCGUGUGACAGACUCUCUUGUUUGCGGCGGAGAAGAAAGAAAGGCCGUGCAAAGUUAAACCGAAGUGCAAGAGAGAGACAGACUGAUCCACAAAGACUUCGCAUGUGUUAGCUGCAGUGUUUCAGCAUCACACGUUCGUACAAACUCUCGGGAGAUGCAAGAGAGACAGUGCAGAGGCGAGGUUUCGUUCAGCAUGGCUCGCACGUCGCUAUACUCGGCCCAGAGAGGAAGGAAGGCGCAUGAUAAGACCUUCCUUCCCGCCCAUUCGCAGUAGCUUCUAACGUCACGCCCAAGUACUGCUGCUGCUGCUGCUGCUCCAUUCUGUGAUCACGAUAUUGCCACUGGCCGCCAAUCCCUCCUCACGUUUGUUAAUGUACAGAAAGUUUAUUGAUAUACGAACCUUUUGGGAGGCCCAGACGAGAGGGCCGAGUGUGAGGGUCGGUGUGCCAGCCAGUCGCUUGAACCUUGGCCACGCUCAGACAAGUCACCGCGCAAUGGUCCAUAAAAUUCAGUCUGUAAGUGAUUUAAUCUGAAACUUAUCUAUUCUGAAACUAAUCUAAUCUGAAGCUAAUCCAGUCUGAAACUAAACUACUCUAAAACUAAUCUAACCUGAAACUAGUCUGUAUUAAUCUGAAAAACAAGUAUCAGGAGUGAGAUCCUUGAGUGCCGUGCUGGGGCGAGGGAAUUUGAACCCCUGGCCCUGCGCUGGCUUGCACUCCGCCCCGCACACCGGCGCCUUGGUCACACUCACACCGUAUGCAAGUUUCCGCUUGUGUAUUCUAUACGUUUCUCUUUGCGUUUCGGUCUGUGGGCCCCGAGCGACUGAACCCGAGGAGGAAAAGGAGACCGACUGUACCCGAUCUUUGAGGUGGAAGAGGAAGAGCCACAAGAAGAAUAGCAAAAGGAAGAGAAAGAGAGAGAUCAACGACGACAAGAGGAUAUAAGAAGGAAAAGUAUUAUUACCACCGACCGUACCCGAUCGUUAAGGUGGAAGAGGAAGAAUUAUACAAAAAACAAAAAGAACGAAAACCAUUGCUAUCAACACUAUCACCUCGACCGACUGUACCAUGCAGCCCGUUGAGGAGAGAAGUAAGCAUAACGAAAGCACUAUUGACACACACACACACACACACACACACACACACACACACACACACACACACACACAGGGCCAGUUUUACAGUCCAAUACAGCAAGUUGGUAAGCUCCCCAACCAAACACGAAAAUUUUAGGAAACUCUACCGGAAAACUUAUUAGCAUCUGGUAUUGAGUAGAGAUAACGGAUCAUUGUGGAGAAGACAGUUUGGUUGGGGCGCUUACAAUGACCCUGUGUUGGACUGUCGAAGUAGCCCUAUCCAACCCCAUAAAACAAAGCUGCUUGGACGGGUUUCAUAAGGGGUCAGCUCUCACGGCCUCGCUCGGGGCACACAGACCCGCCGUUCCCCCUCGCUACGGACGUUAAGGUAGCGAGCUUCGGUCCUACAGGUAACACGGUGUACAGAGAGAGGCUGCCUGUCCUUCCUCCCUUCGGCCCGUCACGGCGAUACGAGGGACAGAGGGGGAGGAGGAGGCGAUGCUGGGGUCAAUGCGUAGAGACAGAAGGCGGACGGGGCAGACAUCGCGAUCCCUGCAGUGACGAAACUUGCAGAGGAGGAAAAGCUUUGUUUCUUCUCACGUAAUUGACUGCUCUUUCGGCCACCUCUUCUGAUUCUUUACAGGAGCAGCGAGUAGCGGGCUUUUUUUUAUUGUUGUUUACUUUUUUGUGCCCUUGUGCUGUCUCCUUUGUUGUAAAAGAAAAAAAAAAUACCGAGAAGGCUUUACGAUCUCAAUGAUGAAAAGCUAAAGUAUUCACCUCCCUCCUCCCCCCCCGCCCCCCGUCACUGCCCUUCUCCCUCCCUCUCUCCCCCUAGCCGUGUCGGGCCGUAGAGGAGGGCGAGGCAGAGUCUGUGUACACUGGCGAGGAGAAGCACGGAAAAAUGUCGCCAUUAUCCUUUUAGGGGUGAAAGGUUUUAUUCUUGAUCCCACGAAAUAACUCACGCCUCCCUCUUCUCUAGCUCUGUUUCUCUGGCUGUCUCUAUAUCUCACGGAAUCACUCACUCCUCUGUCUCUCUAUAGAUAUCCCUGCCUCUAUCUCUAUACAUCUCUAUCUCUUUCUCUACAUUCCUAUAUAUUUCUAUAUCUCCCUACUUCCAUCUCUAUCUCCAUCUUUCUACACACUUCUCUAUCGUUCUUUAUCUCUAUCUCUGUCUCUCGCCCCCUCCGCCUCGCCCCGCUCCGCGCAUGGCCAGUUUAUAGUACACACGAACACACAUACACACACACGCGGGGUACAAGAGAAAAGAAAUACUAAUAAUAAUAAAAAAAAAACUUAUAUAUAGUGUUUAAAUAAAUAUAAAUAUAUAAAUAUAAAUAUAUAUAUAAAUAAAUAAAACCGCUCGAUGACAAUACGUAUAUAAAUAUCUCUCUCUCUCUCUAUAUAUAUAUAUAUUGUUUUAUGGUUUGAUGUCCAGAGAUUCAAAGUUUUCCUCCGAAGUUUCUUUUAUAUAUACAGUAAGCCGCACCUUCGUAGACACAGCCGGGUGACCAGAGGCAGGGCAGGGGCGUGCGGCAGCCUCCAUCUCGGGCGCUGCGCUGUUACCCACAGACCCUGCUACUCAAAUUGAUGCCGAUACGAUAGUGCUUUUUUGUGCUCUGGGCAGGUCAGGCUCUCGAAUAAGUACCCAGAUGCUGACACAACAGUGUUUCCCGUGCUCUGUACAUCGUCAGAAUCCCGAGAAACAUGGAAACAUGGAAAUGCAGGCAACAGAACUGCAAUGCCUCGCUUGAAUUGGUAGACCGUUAUUUCUAAUUCUUAUGUUGGUUUGUACCUCAAAGAAUUUAGAGUGAUGGACAUUAUUGAACCUCUUCAGGUACUUGAAGACCUGAAUUAGAUUUCCUCUUAAACGUCUCUUUCUCAGCGUCAGGAGGUUUAGUGUGCUGAGUCGCACCUGGAGCCCAAAACACACUAUUACAGCAGCAUCAGUUAGGAUUUCUAGGGGCUCUUUUGACAACACCAUGGCGCCCGUGAUGCAGGCGGCCACACCCUCCUGUCCCACGGCUCCGGUGACAACGCCCUAUACAUAGCUGAGGUCAUACUCGUGCCGGGCCCCGCAUCGCCGCCCCGCAGUACGCCGUCACCGAUACCAGCGCCACAUUGUACCACUCACUCACGUCCAUCUCAUUAUCACGCAUCCAACCUGACACGGGGCACGAACGGGGACACACAGCCAGCCAGCCGCCGCUGCCUCCACCACGAACGUCUUUUUUUCUGCAGGGGAGGCAGAUCAAGGGCGACGAGCAACACAGCCACCUCGUAACCUGCUCUCGGCUUGUAUAUGUUUGUGUAUCAAAGGUUAAUCUGGACUUGUAACUCAUAUUCAGCAUCUUGAGUCCACCUAACACGGUGACAAGCAACACAGCCAAUUGGUGUCACUAUCGGCUGUCACGCCUCCGUGGUCUAGUGGUCAGCGUGCCUAGCUACGAAUCCGCGGCCCCGGGUUCGAAUGCCGGCCUGGACAGUCGGCGUGCAGCCCACCCAGGUGUUCAUUCUCCCUUUCGGGCUGGUGGAUAAAUGUGUACCUGGGGACACCUGGGGAAAGUAAACUGUGGUAACCUGGAUGUCACACUGCCCCUGUGUCCCGCGGUGAUAGGCUCUCCCACCACAGGCUCAGAGGGUAAUGCGACGGAGAUGAGCACCGCCGCCACGCGCAGCCAUCGCGUAUGCCCCAAAAUUUACCUAUCGGCUCCUCUGUGUAUGUACUGUUGUAUACGCGAGUCCUGGCUGGCUGGCUGGCCCUAGUGCCUCCCGGCCCGUGUCCUGCCCAUGCUUUUCGCUCCUUCUCUCCUGUAAAGGUUGUUCACGGAUUUAAAAAGACUUUGAGAAUACCUGAUAUGGAUUGCGUCUGUGUCGUUGUUGUUUUACGUUGAUACAUUUACACGGACGAGACUUUGAAAUAUAUAUAAGAAAACCAUGUAAUAAAGUUUUUUCCAGGUUAAUGAUAUAAUAGUAAUAAUGAUAACUUUGCACAUGUGUUUGUAUGUUUGUUAUAAGGGAAUGGGCGACUCACGAGCCCACUUAUACAUUACGAAUUCGGAGGACAGAACGAAAUGAACCUUGCAUCGUCUUAUCAUUGCUCUUACCGUUGUUAUAAGUUCAGGAACGUAGAAAUGCGAUAGAUGACGUAAAAUUAAGAGCUGAUAAGGGAGUCAGUAAUUAUCCAACGCUUUGUCGGUAUUAAUAAACCUCAUCAUUAGGCUUAACGAAGGGGUGGGAUUGGACUCUUUAGCUCCCCAGCUCAACGAACACACGAACACACACACUUACCGUUGAUCGCAUAGGAAGAAUUGAUUUAUUAUGGUUAUUGUAUCGCGGUCUGGUCUGCCCAUCCGUUUGUCUGCCUGUCUGUCUGUUAGUCUCUCAAUCGGCCUGUUUGUCUGUCUGUCUAAAGCCGUGAAAUUUUUUAAUAUAGGCUAUGAAGGAAAUUACUUUUUUCCCUAUUUUUUUCCUUAAUUCUCUUGUUUUUCUUUUUUUUUCGUAUAUUUUCCUUUUUGCUAAUCUUUUAUUUAUUUCUGUUUUUUCUUCUUCCAUUUUUCUUUUUUAUCAAUUAUCUCUUAUUUAUUUUCUUCCUGUUUCUUUUCCUCCAUUUUUUCUGUUUUUCUCAAGUCUCGCUUAUAUUUUUCCUUGUUUCUUUUUCAUUUUUUCUUCCUUUUUCUGACUUUUUUCUUCCUUCUUUCUCACUAUUUCUUUUUACGUUUUGUCUUAGCUCCUACUUUUAUUCUUACUCUCAAUCUCCUCUUACUUUUCACACAUUUUCUUACCUUUUCUCUUCUCCUUUUUUAUUUUUAUUUCUUGCUGUUUUCUUAUCGUUUUUCUUUCAUCUGUUUCAUCUCGGCGACGACUAACAAGACAUUGAAUUGUAACCUUUUUUCUGUACCUCAUCGGGAGAAAAACUAAUGUGUUCUUAAUUUGGUUAUCUCUCUCUCUCUCUCUCUCUCUCUCUCUCUCUCUCUCUCUCUCUCUCUCUCUCUCUCUCUCUCUCUCUCUCUCUCUCUCUCUCUCUCUCCAUA